UAAAGCUUGCAUGUCCAAGUAUUCUGCAGGGUGCAUCUAUUAUUAUCCAUCAUUCCACUAUACUCACAAUCCUUCACAAGCAGAAAAGUUACAAAAAGACCUAAAACGGUAUCUCACAAGAAAAAUUGGAUUUGAAGCUGUUAUGAGAAUAAGGUGUACUAAAGGUCUUUCAAUGCACACUUUUCACGGUAACUUCUUUGUCCGUUCUACUGAUUUGUUAUCCCUUGCCAACAUCAAUCCUGAUGCUGGAUUUGCGGUGCAGUUGUCAAUUGAAGAAAGUUUAACAGAUACUUCCUUAGUAUGUUUUCAGACAGCCCUAUUAUAUACAUCAAGCAAAGGUAAUGUUAACAGAAAUGAAAUAUAGUCUGCAGCAGUAAUUCCUCCC
rnacentral:lncRNA from 1 species